rnacentral:misc_RNA from 1 species
CACAAAAAAAAUUCAGCUUCUGUGGCUGUGCACAGGUCCCAGAGAUUGUCUUGUGUCCUGAUUGUGGACCUGUAAGACUAUUGCAAAUCAUGUGAUGAAAAGAUCUACUGUUUGGUGAUGUAUCAUCAGACAUACAGUUGGAAAGAAGACGCAUCAUUGUGUCUACCUGUGAAAAGAGAAGCAACCAUUUUGUCUGAGCACCAGUGUGACAAGCUCUACUACCGUCAGAUUGGAGUUUUUGAUGCACAAGGCAGAGAUCACAUCAUGAAAGUACAGUUCUGUGAAUGUGAGCCAGAAGCAGUAACACUAAUAAGAAAUGGCUUAUGGCCAGCAACACCAAAGAAGCCAGGGACCGCAUUUUGCAUGAAAGUGAUGGAGCUAUGCAGAAUGCUACAGUUAGAAGGACAAAUGUCUCUCCAGAAAUUUUGCAUGGCAUUGGAGCGGAGGACAACUUUUCAAAAUAGUCGCAGCAGGGACUACAGAAACAUGUACAAGGCACUGGGUAAACAUGCUAUCAUAUUUUGUCACAGCAUGACUACAGCAACAUGUACAAGAUACUUGCUAAACAUAUCGUCAUAUGUUGUCCAAUAAGUCUAACUUUCAAGAAACUCCUCAGGGUAUAUUGCUUAAUGACUCCAUAGAGAACUGUAUCAGUGCCACUAGACCUGUAGUCAAGUAGUGCGACAGUUUCAUUUGAUGGAUGUAAAUAUAGUUUAAUUAUAAGGAUUAUAAGCCAAUAAUUUCAGUUUACAUUAUUUGGAAACUAUGGAAAGAAUACGUGGAUUGUGAAAAUGGUAUUUUAUGUGUUUGUUUAAUUGUUUAUCGUAGGUAACACAAUUAUAGAAUUUCACCAUCAUCAGGUGUUAUGUCUUGAGACAGCUCAUGCCCAUGACUUCCUGGGCAAGAAGUGCCCAAUAUGUAGUCUGGUAUGUUGUAUGGGUUAAGGAUUAGGCAUUUUAAGAAAUAUUUAAACACAGUUGCUGUAUUCUGCAAACAAAAACACCCACAAAAGUUUAUUACACUUGAUUUGUACAUAAUAUUUUCACAUGGUUGCAAUUUAAGUUUUUGAAAAUAUGCCUAAUCUGUGCACAUCAGUUUCCCGACUUUUUGAUAUAAAGAGAAUUUAUCAACAUUGUCUAAUGCCUACUGAUAAUUUUAGGCCAUGUCUUUCAAAAACAUAUCUUCUAUUUCAUGAGGAAUUAAUAGAUGUGAUUAGUGAUCUUCACUCAGAUAUCGAUUCGAAAUCUGGUGAAGACGAUGAAGAGGAAGAACACUUUUUUCCAUAAGUUGUUGAGCUAUUAAUUUCUUUAGUCAGUUUACUGAAGGGGACAAUUGAUAUGUUUAUUGAAAUUGUAAAGGUAUUUAAGGGAUGAUAGCAUGUUUAUUUUGUUUUAAAGCAUUGCUACAACCAACAUCAACAAAGGCUUUAUGAAUUCAUUGCUACAUUUUUGAACCAAGAACGGUGUAACCUUCUAAUUCUGUUUUUAGCAAUGUACUUUUUUUUUUUAUAGUAUACAUACAAGACACAUUCACACCGUGCAUCCAGUUUCUUUCACCCACAGAAACAAGCCUUUUAAUAUAUUUUAUAUGCCACUCUGGAGCAAGGCAUGAGCUUAUUCUUAAGUAUAUUGCUGUGGCACAAUAUAUGUCUAGAGACUAUCAUUUGAGAAAAGAAUUGUACAUAACAGUAUACUGCCUUCUCGUAGCUCAUUCUCCUAAAAGUUUGAAGUGAUGGUAGUAAAUAAAACAGGGAAACAAACACAGUUUUUGCUUUGAGGAAAAUUAAGUGAAAAGAAUUUUUACUCGUAUAUCAUGUUAUUUACUUACAACAUAUUCUUACUAAGGAUGUUAUAUAAACAGGUAUGCUUUGUUAUAAAUCUUGAGAAAUCUAUUUUUGUGCUCUGCAAUGGUGGUUACCUGUCAAAGAGGGAGAAAUGGCACAUGGAAAAGGACAUAGUCAAAUGUAUAAAUAUGUACAAAUAUCUAGAUUUGAUUGAUUUCAACAAGACUAUCUGUUUGUUGUGCUAUUGUGGAUGUUUCAUGGAGUGCCCAAAAAAAGUGUCAUUGGGAUAACCAUAUGUUUUUGGCACAUGGUGUGCAUUCACCACUAUUUUCAUGUUUUUUCACAUUUCUUGCAUUUUGUGAUCAUUUAAAGUGACAUUGCUACUAUCCUGUCAUGUCCCUUUUGUCCAGGUGUUAUUAAGUCGGUAAUACAUGCUAUGUUCUUAUGAAAAAGAUACAGGGUAGUGAGAAAGAAAUGUAAACAGUAUUACCAUCUGCUUUCCAGUUAUCCAUGCUGGUAGAAAAUACUGACAAGUUUGUAGUUAAUAAUGUAACUAAUAACUGAAUAUUUGACUCUAUACAGUUCGUCUAGAACUCUAGAUUAUGAUGUAUGUUUUUGCAUUGUAUUGUAUUGUGUAUUGUUUGGAUUCGGCUUGAAAUAUGCGGAAGGCCUUUUCCAUAAAUAAAAUCAAUAAAUUGUUUCUUUCCCGUAUUUUGCAUCUAGCAGGGAGACUUCUGUGGUCAGACAAACACUAUCACUGUAAAUCCACCGCUUGACCAAGCACGAAUAGCUAUUUUACUGUACUUCAUUAAAGUGUAUGUUCAAUAAAUUGAAAAGGGCUUGAAAAAC